CCUACGGGGUGCACCAGUGGGGAAUAUUGCACAAUGGGCGCAAGCCUGAUGCAGCCAUGCCGCGUGUAUGAAGAAGGCCUUCGGGUUGUAAAGUACUUUCAGCGAGGAGGAAGGCGUUAAGGUUAAUAACCUUAGCGAUUGACGUUACUCGCAGAAGAAGCACCGGCUAACUCCGUGCCAGCAGCCGCGGUAAUACGGAGGGUGCAAGCGUUAAUCGGAAUUACUGGGCGUAAAGCGCACGCAGGCGGUCUGUCAAGUCGGAUGUGAAAUCCCCGGGCUCAACCUGGGAACUGCAUUCGAAACUGGCAGGCUAGAGUCUUGUAGAGGGGGGUAGAAUUCCAGGUGUAGCGGUGAAAUGCGAAGAGAUCUGGAGGAAUACCGGUGGCGAAGGCGGCCCC
rnacentral:rRNA from 1 species